UUUUGGGAGCUUGCUCCUAAAAGUUAGCGGCGGACGGGUGAGUAACACGUGGGCAACCUGCCUGUAAGACUGGGAUAACUUCGGGAAACCGGAGCUAAUACCGGAUAAUUCUUAUCAACUCAUGUUGAUAAGCUGAAAGACGGUUUCGGCUGUCACUUACAGAUGGGCCCGCGGCGCAUUAGCUAGUUGGUGAGGUAACGGCUCACCAAGGCAACGAUGCGUAGCCGACCUGAGAGGGUGAUCGGCCACACUGGGACUGAGACACGGCCCAGACUCCUACGGGAGGCAGCAGUAGGGAAUCUUCCGCAAUGGACGAAAGUCUGACGGAGCAACGCCGCGUGAGUGAUGAAGGUUUUCGGAUCGUAAAACUCUGUUGUUAGGGAAGAACAAGUACGAGAGUAACUGCUCGUACCUUGACGGUACCUAACCAGAAAGCCACGGCUAACUACGUGCCAGCAGCCGCGGUAAUACGUAGGUGGCAAGCGUUGUCCGGAAUUAUUGGGCGUAAAGCGCGCGCAGGCGGUCCUUUAAGUCUGAUGUGAAAGCCCACGGCUCAACCGUGGAGGGUCAUUGGAAACUGGGGGACUUGAGUGCAGGAGAGAAGAGUGGAAUUC
rnacentral:rRNA from 2 species